CAGAUGAAAGUGCGCGCUGUUGCGGCGACAACACACUUGAUUUAAAAUGGAGCCGGUUGUUUUACUUAUCUGAGCGAUUUUGCAGCGAAAACACUGAAUAAACGGAAUAAAAAUUAAUCUCAGUAAACUACUUAUCGCAGUCCCAGACACAGACAUUGCUGAAUGAGUUGAAUGUCAUAAUCUGAGUGGCGACGAAAGCUGACUGUGUUGUCACCUCUCGUCGACUGCGUCUCGGCCAACAAGCUGUGCUUGAACACACCAACAGGACUAAAGGUGACUGUCGACUAGCAUGUGCAUUCUGCACCUUUGUGCUUUGAGAAAAGUCACUUCAUAUCAGGCUUACCAUCUACACUGGACCCAUACCAGUUUAUCGCACGAAUAGGUCAACAGAGGAUGCCAUCUCUACUGCUCUACAUUCAGGCCUCACACACUUGGAAAAUAAUAAUACAUACUUCCGGAUGCUGUUCAUUGAUUUUAGUUCCGCAUUUAACAGUCAUCCCCACAAAACUGAUCAUCAUGCUCAAUGGUAUUUGCACCUCCAUUUGCAGAUGAAUUCUGGAUUUUCUUACCAAUCGACCCCACUCUGUGAGGUUGGGCAGUCACAUGUCCUCAACUCUCAUUCUGAACACCGGUGUCUCACAGGGUCGCACGCUGAGUACGUUACUCUACUGUCUGUUCACCCAUGACUGUGUGCCUCUACAUAACUAUAACAUCUUCAUUAACUACGCAGAUGAUAUGAUAGUGUUGGGCCAGAUAAUGAGACUGCAUACAGGGAGGAGAUCCAAAACCUGGCAGCAUGGUGUUCCACCAACAACCUUACACUUAAUGCUGUGAAAAACAAAGAGCUGAUUGUGGACUUCCAGAAAUUGAAAUGCAGUUGACACUCUCCUAUCUAGAACAUCUCUCCAGCUUCAAGUUCCUAGGUGUCCAUAUAUCUGAGGAUCUGUCCUGGCGUAAGAACACUUCAAUUCUGGUUGUGGCACAUCAGCAUUUGUACUUUCUAAGGAGUCUUAAGAAAGCCCAUCUAUCCCCUCAGAUCCUCACAAUUUUUCAUUGUUGCAUCAUUGAAAGUAUUCUGACCAGUUCCCUCACAGUGUGGUAUGGCUGCUGAAUGGUGAGUGAAAAGAAAGCCCUGCAAAAGGUGGCAAAUAUUGCCCAUUGUAUCACUGGCACUCAACUACCAGCAACUGAACAUCUUCACCACAGUAGGUGUUUGCGCAGAGCUCAUAAGAGACUCCUCUCAUCCCAACCAUAAACUGUUCAAACUGCUUCGGUCUGACAUUGCCGACUGCCGGCCAUCAGCUUGGUGUGUCCCGACCUUAACCUUUUAAGAGGUCUCAAAAUUUGUGUGUGUGUGUCUGUGCUUUAGCAUUUGGGGUUGAUCAUUCACAUUCAUAAUAUUGAUUUUAUACAGCACACUUACUUGGUUCAGUGUACUGAGAAGAUAACCACUGGCCACAGUGUAUAUUCUCAAAAAUGGGCCAUUCUUCUCUGCACAAAUAUGAGCACAACAUGCUCGAUUAGAUCAUUGUUGUUUUUUUCUGGGAGGGAUGUUUUGUGUGCUGUUGUAAUCUCAUUAUUCAUCAGUGGUGCGUGUUACAUGUCUCCCUUCCAGGUUCGGUGUCUUUUGAGGAUUUUUGUUAGCUUUCAGCAGAGCAGUGCUUUGCAAGCCUCAGCACUGUGUCGGUUAUCAGUGCUCCAUCCUUAAUUGAAGACAAAACCAUGUUAUGUUUCUAAUAUCCAGAGGGAAGGAUGAGAUACAAAAGAUGAUGAAAAGAUCUGAUAAAAAGCUGGGGAGUUUAUCUUCUGGCACUAUUUUGUUUCAGAUGUGAGGAAAUAAAGUAGGGGAGACAAAUAGAACAUAUUAGUGGCCUCUGUUUAUAACAAUUUACAAAAUAGCGCGUGUAGUGCUGUCAUAAGUAAUCAUUACCAAGUCGCUCACGCGAAUAUGCACAGUAAUGUUUAAAAGCAGCCGCCUGUCAGCUGAUAUCAAAUUAAAGUUGGUAUUUCAGAAAAGCUGGUAUACCAUUAUAUUUUUGAGAUUUCAUUAUCGACUUAUCAAACUACCUGUGUUUUUGUAAAUUCCAAGUGUGUGUUUGUCUGUGAGUUUGUUCCAAAAUAAGGUGAUUCUAAGGAGGUAGCGUUUGUUGUUAGCAUAUUGCUAAGCUAAAAGCACAAUAUGUUAAGAAUAAGAAUACAUGGUAUGCUCAAUUAUUGUCUAAUUAUUUAAUUAUGCUAAUUAAAAUUUUUAGUGAUACUUUUUUAUAACUUACACUUGUCUGCCACAUUGGAUUUGUUUUUCGUUGAGCGUGUCAUAAUGCAUUGUGGGACUGCAUUAUCUCUAUGUCAUGAGCCAGGUUUGAUUAUUUCUUUAUUUUCUGCCUCUUUUGUGUUUCAGCUGUUCGUCAUUUCUGCCGGCGUUCGCGCUCUCCCGUCCGCACCUGUUCUGUGUCUGUGUUGAUUGUUCUGGCUAUUUCUCCCUGCUGUUCGUUCUUGUCUUUGUCGGAUAAUUAUCUCGCUGUGAGUGUGACGUAAAUCUGUAGUUUUUCCCAGUCCAAGGCUCCCAGCUCCAGUUCCUGAUCUCGUGGUCCGUGUUUCUGUCUACAAGCCUUCUUUGAGCCUUCUGUCUACAAGCCUGGUUCCUACCAUCCGACAGGUUUGGUGCUCACCAUCUACCACCUAAGGCACGUCCAGAUCGGCCACCGAGCUCCAGUGCUUUGUGAGCUUCCUUCAGGGAACGAACUCUAUUUUGUUUCAGUUCACCAGCUGCAGCGUUCCUGUGUGUCGACGCCUGGCAGUCUGUUUAUGUUGGAUACUGUACUGGACUCUAAAUAAACACAGUUA